rnacentral:rRNA from 1 species
ACGGAGCGGCGAACGGGUGAGUAACACGUGAGCAACCUGCCCCGAAGACCGGGAUAGCCCGAGGAAACUCGGAUUAAUACCGGAUGCCUUCACACUUCCGCAUGGCGGAGUGAAGAAAUGCCUUUGUGUUUCGGGAUGGGCUCGCGGCCUAUUAGCUAGUAGGCGCGGUAACGGCGCACCUAGGCUACGAUAGAUAGGGGCCCUGAGAGGGGGAUCCCCCACACUGGUACUGAGACACGGACCAG